rnacentral:sRNA from 23 species
AUAGAGAGAUGAACCUCUCUGUUCCCCAACCCCUCUAUCAGAUCAAGAUUUAAAAAACUUGGCGCUGCCCCCGCCAAGUUUUU